UCAUAGCUCAGUCGGUAGAGCAAAGGACUGAAAAUCCUUGUGUCGCUGGUUCGAUUCCGGCUGAG
rnacentral:tRNA from 1 species